rnacentral:rRNA from 1 species
GGUUUCCUACGGGAGGCAGCAGUGGGGAAUAUUGCACAAUGGGGGGAACCCUGAUGCAGCGACGCCGCGUGGGCGAGGAAGUAUUUCGGUAUGUAAAGCCCUAUCGGCAGGGAAGAAGAAAUGACGGUACCUGAAUAAGAAGCACCGGCUAAAUACGUGCCAGCAGCCGCGGUAAUACGUAUGGUGCAAGCGUUAUCCGGAUUUACUGGGCGUAAAGGGAGCGCAGGCGGCGCGCCAAGUCUGAUGUGAAACCCCGGGGCUCAACCCCGGGCAUGCAUUGGAACUGUGUGGCUGGAGUGUCGGAG